CUAUAUUCAUUUACACAUAUUCAGGUGUUUUUAAUUGUUGUGUGAUUGGAAGCUCACUAUAUCAUGUUCAUUUUGCCACUGACAAGAUUUUGGGACAUGGGUAGUUUUCAGUUUAAUUUGGAUGUGUUGAUGUGGAAAGAUUGGAGAGGAGUUGUUUGUUCACUGACCCAUGUGCAACUAAUAUAUGGGUUCAUUGAUUAGGCAGUUUGUGAAGCUCUGUCUUUUAAUGGCAGGGAAUUAAUUUACCUGAAUUGAAUCUUUAUGAAACUUGCAGAGGUCUUUACUGUUGUUUGGGCACUGAGGUUCUUGGCCAUCUUCUUUUUGUCAAACAUAUAGGAUUGAGAAAAUUCUUUUUAAUCAUCUUUAAUUAGUUCUUGUUCUAGAGCUGAUGGUUCAGGGCAAAUGGUUUUCAUGUUGGCCAUUGUUAUGUGUCAUGCUGCACAGCUGCAGCCUAUGCAGGUUGUUUGCUUUUAAAAUGAAUUCCCUUGAUGGGUACUGGUGAUGCCUAUAUUUUUCAUGUCUGAUGUGGAGGGCAGGGUGCAUUUUAGUACACACCAAACGUGGUUCAGCUCGUAUUUGUGAUCCUAGAAUAGAUAAAGUGAUGUGAUGUGAGAUCUGUCAUCAUUUCUAUGGGAAAGGAGGCCUUUUUGUGUAAAAAUCCUGACUGAGAGAAGAAAGAUUCAUUGAAUUUAUGAAAUCAUAUAAUUCAUGUUAAUGAAAUAUUCUGGUACGGCUAGUUAAAUAUAGUGAUUUUCAUGAGGGUUGGGAAAUGAUUUUCCUUGAUGGUUAUGGCACAUUACAGGCCAUUCUUUCUUCUUGUACGUCUAUAGACAGCUAAUCCUAGUUAAUGGGAAAGGAGGCCUUUUUGUGUAAAAAUCCUGACUGAGAGAAGAAAGAUUCAUUGAAUUUAUGAAAUCAUAUAAUUCAUGU